rnacentral:lncRNA from 1 species
AUGAGGAAACCCUGCAUCCUUGCACUCCCAGGACGAGGAUGGCUCUGGCGCAUCACAGUUUCCACGUCUUGGUGUUUCCCUCCGUCUCCUCGUGAGGAGAGCUGGGACUUCUCUGUCCUGGAAGGAGAAGCAACCAAGGAUUUCGGAGAAAAAGCUUUGCAACCCCACGGGAAGACCCAAUCACGCAGGUUGCGGGGAGCAAGGCUGCACACCCUCUUAAAACACGGCCGUCGGAUAAAGUCCCUUUCUCCGGUUCCUUCCCUGCUUACCGUUCAGUCCCCGCAGGGUUCCGGGUUGCCCCCCCCACCCCACCCCCCGGCCGCGCGGGGGUCGCUGCCCCCGCCCCUGCCCCACCCCCGCCCCCGUCCCCCGCGCCCCCGCCCCGGCCCCCCCGCCCCUGCCCCACUCCCCUGCCCCACCCCCGCCCCCGUCCCCCGCGCCCCCGCCCCGGCCCCCCUGCCCCUGCUCCUUCCCCCACCUGACCCUGACCCUGCCCCACUCCCCUGCCCCCACCCCGGCCCCCCCGCCCCUGCCCCUGCCCUCCCGCCCCCUCCCCUGACCCUGUCCCCCCUGCCCUGCCCCCCGCCCCUGCCCCCCGCCCCUCCCCCUGCCCCCUCCGCCCCUACCCCCUCGCCCCGCCCCGCCCCCGCCCCGCCCCUCCCUUUCAUCUUUUCCUCCCCUCCCAACUCAACGGAGUCGCACAGCGGAAGAGGGGAGGGUCUCCCCGCGGCCUGUUUGCAAGAAAUGAGGCGUGGGAAGAGGGCGCGCUCUCCAAAAAACAAGGGCGGGGGGUUGGAAAACAUCUUAACUCAAAAUAAAGCACUUGCACCCCGGUCCGCUCCCAGCAGCCUCUCCCCGCCGGAGCCUGCACCCCUCCAGGGCCGGGAGCGCCCCCUCCCGUCGUCCCGUCGUCCCGUCGUCCCGUGGCCGGGGCGCGGCUGGCGGCGAGGCGUCCCGGUCCGAUCCCACACGCAACCCCGCGAGCCGCCGCGAGGGCCCGAGCGCGCACGGAGCCGGAGCCGGAGCCGGAGCCGGAGCCGGAGCCCGAGCCCCGGACGUCAGCCCACCUCGCUUCGAGAGCCUUCGGCGGCGCCCGUGACCGCCGCGGGCCGGGCCGCCCGCCCCCGCGCCCGGGUGCAGCCGACCAAUCGGUGCCCUCGGGGGGCGGGCCCGGCGGCGGAGGCCCCGCCCCCUCCCCGCCGCCGCCCAUAA